CGCUGGCGGCGUGCCUAACACAUGCAAGUCGAGCGAGGAGAUUCCUUCGGGAUGAUCCUAGCGGCGGACGGGUGAGUAACACGUGGGCAACCUGCCUCAUAGAGAGGAAUAGCCUUCCGAAAGGGAGAUUAAUACCUCAUAACAUUGCAGUUUCGCAUGGAACAGCAAUUAAAGGAGCAAUCCACUAUGAGAUGGGCCCGCGGCGCAUUAGCUAGUUGGUGAGGUAACGGCUCACCAAGGCGACGAUGCGUAGCCGACCUGAGAGGGUGAUCGGCCACAUUGGGACUGAGACACGGCCCAGACUCCUACGGGAGGCAGCAGUGGGGAAUAUUGCACAAUGGGGGAAACCCUGAUGCAAGCAACGCCGCGUGAGUGAUGACGGCCUUCGGGUUGUAAAGCUCUGUCUUCAGGGACGAUAAUGACGGUACCUGAGGAGGAAGCCACGGCUAACUACGUGCCAGCAGCCGC
rnacentral:rRNA from 1 species